rnacentral:rRNA from 1 species
CCCAUCUCGAACACAGUAGUUAAGCUCUCUAGCGCCGAUGAUACUUGGCGGGCAGCUGCCUGGGAAAGUAGGACGUUGCCGGUU